UGUGUGUGUGUGUGUGUGUGUGUGUGUGUGUAUGGACUCACACACUCUACACACACACACAGCCCUCCAUACACACACACU